rnacentral:rRNA from 1 species
UACGUAGGGUGCGAGCGUUGUCCGGAAUUACUGGGCGUAAAGAGCUCGUAGGUGGUUUGUCGCGUUGUUCGUGAAAUUCCCUGGCUUAACUGGGGGCGUGCGGGCGAUACGGGCAGACUGGAGUACUGCAGGGGAGACUGGAAUUCCUGGUGUAGCGGUGGAAUGCGCAGAUAUCAGGAGGAACACCGGUGGCGAAGGCGGGGUCUCUGGGCAGUAACUGACGCUGAGGAGCGAAAGCGUGGGGAGCGAACAGG